GACGAACCGAGCGAACGUUGUUCGGAAUCACUGGGCUUAAAGGGCGCGUAGGCGGCCACCGCAAGUCAGUUGUGAAAUCUCUGGGCUUAACCCAGAAAGGUCAACUGAUACUGCGGGGCUAGAGUGCAGAAGGGGCAACUGGAAUUCUCGGUGUAGCGGUGAAAUGCGUAGAUAUCGAGAGGAACACCUGCGGCGAAGGCGGGUUGCUGGGCUGACACUGACGCUGAGGCGCGAAAGCGUGGGGAGCAAACAGG
rnacentral:rRNA from 1 species